rnacentral:rRNA from 1 species
GUAGGGAAUAUUGCGCAAUGGGCGAAAGCCUGACGCAGCAACGCCGCGUGGGUGACGAAGCUCUUUGGAGUGUAAAACCCUGUCAGCAGGGAAGAACCGGUCGUGGAGGUAAUGCCAUGGCCCUGACGGUACCUGCAGAGGAAGUUCCGGCUAACUCCGUGCCAGCAGCCGCGGUAACACGGGGGGAACGAGCGUUGUUCGGAUUUACUGGGCGUAAAGAGUGCGUAGGCGGGCCAGUCAGUCGGGUGUGAAAACCUACGGCUUAACCGUGGGCUUGCAUUCGAAACUGCUGGUCUUGAGUACGGGAGAGGGAAGUGGAAUUCCUGGUGUAGCGGUGAAAUGCGUAGAUAUCAGGAGGAACACCGGUGGCGAAGGCGGCUUCCUGGACCGAUACUGACGCUGAGGCACGAAGGCCGGGGGAGCAAACAGG